rnacentral:rRNA from 1 species
AGAGUUUGAUCCUGGCUCAGGAUGAACGCUAGCGGCGGGCCUAACACAUGCAAGUCGAGGGGCAGCAUAAAAUAAGCUUGCUUAUUUGGUGGCGACCGGCGAACGGGUGAGGAACACGUACGUAACCUGCCUUCUGCUGGAGAAUAGCUUGAGGAAACUCGAAUUAAUACUCCAUAAUACAAUGAUAUCGCAUGGUAAUAUUGUUAAAGUUCCGGCGGCAGAAGAUGGACGUGCGUCCGAUUAGUUAGUUGGUGAGGUAACGGCUCACCAAGACCACGAUCGGUAGGGGGCCUGAGAGGGUGAUCCCCCACACUGGUACUGAGACACGGACCAGACUCCUACGGGAGGCAGCAGUGAGGAAUAUUGGUCAAUGGAGGCAACUCUGAACCAGCCACGCCGCGUGCAGGAAGACGGCCCUAUGGGUUGUAAACUGCUUUUGUAGGGGAAUAAAUUUUUCUACGUGUAGAAAUUUGAAGGUAUUCUACGAAUAAGUAUCGGCAAACUCCGUGCCAGCAGCCGCGGUAAUACGGAGGAUACGAGCGUUAUCCGGAUUUAUUGGGUUUAAAGGGUGCGUAGGCGGCCUAUUAAGUCAGUAGUGAAAUCUUACAGCUUAACUGUUAAAACUGCUAUUGAUACUGGUAGGCUUGAGUGAGACUGGAGCAACUGGAAUGUGUGGUGUAGCGGUGAAAUGCAUAGAUAUCACACAGAACACCAAUCGCGAAGGCAGGUUGCUAAGUCUAUACUGACGCUGAGGCACGAAAGCGUGGGGAGCAAAUAGGAUUAGAUACCCUAGUAGUCCACGCCGUAAACGAUGAUCACUAGCUGUUGGAUGUUUUAUUCAGUGGCCAAGCGAAAGUGAUAAGUGAUCCACCUGGGGAGUACGAUCGCAAGAUUGAAACUCAAAGGAAUUGACGGGGACCCGCACAAGCGGUGGAGCAUGUGGUUUAAUUCGAUGAUACGCGAGGAACCUUACCAAGGCUUAAAUGUACUACGAAUAAACUGGAAACAGUUUAGUUCUUCGGACGGAGUACAAGGUGCUGCAUGGUUGUCGUCAGCUCGUGCCGUGAGGUGUUAGGUUAAGUCCUUCAAUGAGCGCAACCCCUAUUGUUAGUUGCCAGCGGGUAAUGCCGGGGACUCUAGCAAGACUGCCGACGUAAGUCGAGAGGAAGGUGGGGACGACGUCAAAUCAUCACGGCCCUUACGUCUUGGGCUACACACGUGCUACAAUGGCCGGUACAAAGGGCAGCCACUGGGCGACCAGGCGCUAAUCUCUAAAACCGGUCUCAGUUCGGAUUGGAGUCUGCAACUCGACUCUAUGAAGCUGGAAUCGCUAGUAAUCGCGCAUCAGCCAUGGCGCGGUGAAUACGUUCCCGGGCCUUGUACACACCGCCCGUCAAGCCAUGGAAGUCGGAGGUACCUGAAGUCGGUGACCGUAAUAGGAGCUGCCUAGGGUAAAAUCGAUAACUGGGGCUAAGUCGUAACAAGGUAGCCGUACCGGAAGGUGCGGCUG